rnacentral:rRNA from 1 species
AAAUCCGGUUCACUUUAACACUGAGGCGUGACGACGAGGCACUACGGUGCUGAAGCAACAAAUGCCCUGCUUCCAGGAAAAGCCUCUAAGCAUCAGGUAACAUCAAAUCGUACCCCAAACCGACACAGGUGGUCAGGUAGAGAAUACCAAGGCGCUUGAGAGAACUCGGGUGAAGGAACUAGGCAAAAUGGUGCCGUAACUUCGGGAGAAGGCACGCUGACACGUAGGUGAAGUGAUUUACUCAUGGAGCUGAAGUCAGUCGAAGAUACCAGCUGGCUGCAACUGUUUAUUAAAAACACAGCACUGUGCAAACACGAAAGUGGACGUAUACGGUGUGACGCCUGCCCGGUGCCGGAAGGUUAAUUGAUGGGGUCAGCGCAAGCGAAGCUCCUGAUCGAAGCCCCGGUAAACGGCGGCCGUAACUAUAACGGUCCUAAGGUAGCGAAAUUCCUUGUCGGGUAAGUUCCGACCUGCACGAAUGGCGUAAUGAUGGCCAGGCUGUCUCCACCCGAGACUCAGUGAAAUUGAACUCGCUGUGAAGAUGCAGUGUACCCGCGGCAAGACGGAAAGACCCCGUGAACCUUUACUAUAGCUUGACACUGAACAUUGAGCCUUGAUGUGUAGGAUAGGUGGGAGGCUUUGAAGUGUGGACGCCAGUCUGCAUGGAGCCGACCUUGAAAUACCACCCUUUAAUGUUUGAUGUUCUAACGUGGACCCGUUACCCGGGUUGCGGACAGUGUCUGGUGGGUAGUUUGACUGGGGCGGUCUCCUCCUAAAGAGUAACGGAGGAGCACGAAGGUUGGCUAAUCCUGGUCGGACAUCAGGAGGUUAGUGCAAUGGCAUAAGCCAGCUUGACUGCGAGCGUGACGGCGCGAGCAGGUGCGAAAGCAGGUCAUAGUGAUCCGGUGGUUCUGAAUGGAAGGGCCAUCGCUCAACGGAUAAAAGGUACUCCGGGGAUAACAGGCUGAUACCGCCCAAGAGUUCAUAUCGACGGCGGUGUUUGGCACCUCGAUGUCGGCUCAUCACAUCCUGGGGCUGAAGUAGGUCCCAAGGGUAUGGCUGUUCGCCAUUUAAAGUGGUACGCGAGCUGGGUUUAGAACGUCGUGAGACAGUUCGGUCCCUAUCUGCCGUGGGCGCUGGAGAACUGAGGGGGGCUGCUCCUAGUACGAGAGGACCGGAGUGGACGCAUCACUGGUGUUCGGGUUGUCAUGCCAAUGGCACUGCCCGGUAGCUAAAUGCGGAAGAGAUAAGUGCUGAAAGCAUCUAAGCACGAAACUUGCCCCGAGAUGAGUUCUCCCUGAGACUUAAAGUCUCCUGAAGGAACGUUGAAGACGACGACGUUG